rnacentral:lncRNA from 1 species
UUACACGCUAGAUGGUGGGGACAUCAUCAACGCCCUGUGCUUCAGCCCUAACCGCUACUGGCUGUGUGCUGCCACAGGCCCCAGCAUCAAGAUCUGGGAUUUAGAGGGAAAGAUCAUUGUAGAUGAACUGAAGCAAGAAGUUAUCAGUACCAGCAGCAAGGCAGAACCACCCCAGUGCACCUCCCUGGCCUGGUCUGCUGAUGGCCAGGUAAGUGGGUCUGUCCUCUCAGGUGAUUCUGCUUCCAGUUAAUUUUCUCCCUCUCAUUCUGUUAGUAUAUCUAGUCUGUCAGACACAAGAGCAGUGUCCUUGGCAUAAAGUGAAAUGACAAGCCAGGUUGAUGAGGAUGCCCUCGUUUGCCAUGCCAGUGAAUGUGUUUCUGCAUCAGAGGGAAGACUGAUGUGGAACGCAGUGGCUGUCAGCCUUCAAUUAAUACCUUAAUUAAUCUGACCAGUUUUCAAAUGUCUGGAGCCUUAUCACCAGCUGUUUCUUCCUCAAGGAAUACAUAACCACCACUUACAAGCUGGCUGUUGAAAUGAGAGCGGUUUCUUACAGUCUACCCGGCGUUGUGGCACAUGCCUACUGGAGGCUGAGGUGGGAGGAUCUCUUGAACUGCAGGGGCUUAAGGCUGUAGUGAGCCAGGAUCGCACCCCUGCACUCCAGCCUAGACAAUGGAGCAAGGUGGACGGAUCUCAAAAAAAGCCACUUGGGCUGAAUCUAGUGAGACUGCAGAAUUUAUGCCAGCCUGACCUGUCACUGUCAUUUCUUCCCUGCAGACUCUGUUUGCUGGCUACACGGACAACCUGGUGCGAGUGUGGCAGGUGACCAUUGGCACACGCUAGAAGUUUAUGGCAGAGCUUUACAAAUAAAAAAAAAACUGGCUUUUCUGA